UGAUGUGUAGGAUAGGUGGGAGGCUUUGAAGCGUGGACGCCAGUCUGCGUGGAGCCGACCUUGAAAUACCACCCUUUAAUGUUUGAUGUUCUAACGUGGAUCCGUAAUCCGGGUUGCGGACAGUGUCUGGUGGGUAGUUUGACUGGGGCGGUCUCCUCCUAAAGAGUAACGGAGGAGCACGAAGGUUGGCUAAUCCUGGUCGGACAUCAGGAGGUUAGUGCAAUGGCAUAAGCCAGCUUGACUGCGAGCGUGACGGCGCGAGCAGGUGCGAAAGCAGGUCAUAGUGAUCCGGUGGUUCUGAAUGGAAGGGCCAUCGCUCAACGGAUAAAAGGUACUCCGGGGAUAACAGGCUGAUACCGCCCAAGAGUUCAUAUCGACGGCGGUGUUUGGCACCUCGAUGUCGGCUCAUCACAUCCUGGGGCUGAAGUAGGUCCCAAGGGUAUGGCUGUUCGCCAUUUAAAGUGGUACGCGAGCUGGGUUUAGAACGUCGUGAGACAGUUCGGUCCCUAUCUGCCGUGGGCGCUGGAGAACUGAGGGGGGCUGCUCCUAGUACGAGAGGACCGGAGUGGACGCAUCACUGGUGUUCGGGUUGUCAUGCCAAUGGCACUGCCCGGUAGCUAAAUGCGGAAGAGAUAAGUGCUGAAAGCAUCUAAGCACGAAACUUGCCCCGA
rnacentral:rRNA from 2 species